UGAGUUUUCAAAUUCUUUUUUAAUCUAAGAUAAUUCGGAGAAAUUAGAAAAUAUAUAUGCGAUUUUUGUUUCUUCUUGCUUUAAGGUGUUGGCAAAAUGUGUUUUGAUGAGCUCUUCAUAAGCAAAACUGUUCUUUGUUUCUCUAUUUUCAAGCACCAUCAGCAGGCUUAUCAGCAAAGGCCAGACUUUUUUGUUUUUUUUUGCGCUAGUUAUUAAGCGUUAUCAAACCAAAACAGUUUUUGGUGAACAAUCUGUUUAAUAUGAUUUCCAUAUUUGCUCGGUUUCAAAAUUUACUAAAGCUCCAUUAUUUUGGCUGGUCGGUUAUCCACCCAAGUUUUGUGUGCUAAGUUACCGCUUGAUAAGUUUUGUUUCAAUACUAUUUGAACUCUGGGAUUUGUGUUCUCGUUAUAGAAGCAGUUCAAGUUGCUCGCUAUAAUGAUAAUAUUAUAACGCUUACUAAUUUAGAACAUUUUAUAUGGCAUACCUUUAAAUUGUAGAUGUAAUUUCCAGUCAUUUUCAUUCUGUUUCGGUAUAACUCUCCGGAUAUUUGCGAAAUUUUAAUCCAAUGAGUUCGGUAAAUAUAGAUUUAAAAUGUUUCCGAAUGGUCUGAGCGCUAAGUUGCUCGUCCACAUCUUUGACAGCUCAAUUUUGAUCAACAGGUUCGCGCGAGUUAAAGCAGCCAGGAAAGCGAGAAACAGACGGAGACAUACCCCAGGCAAAUACCGAACUAUUCAAGUGGAUGACGGCGACUGGGUAGAAGAAGGACAGAUUUUGGCGCUGCAAAACACUUAUGCUUUCUAUCCUGGAGUUAAUGUUAACACCGGCUAUGAAAAGUACAGUAGACGAGCACUUACAGCGGCGUGUCCAGGCUAUGUCCGGUUCACAGUUGAUGAAUUUGUUCCUCCUUCGGAGUCUCAGCUGAAUACGGUGAUAAAAUCCCGCAAGACAACUUCGCUUAUUGGGCGUUUUCUUCACAUCAUUACACCAAAGUUACCCAACAGGUUCCGGUUGAUCAGCUUGACUUAACAAAUAACUGUUGAAAACUGUGUUGGUUUGUUGAAUCGUUAUUGCAAAGUUUAUAGAUUGGUGGGAUUUCUUUCUGCUUAAAUUUAAAUUGCUUCAAAA